rnacentral:tRNA from 1 species
GGAGAAUUCGCCUAGUGGUAUGGCAGCGGCCUGCUAAGCCGUAGCGGGCUUCACGCCCGUCCGGGGUUCGAAUCCCUGAUUCUCCG